rnacentral:sRNA from 1 species
CUAAUAGCACUAGAAAAUUAAGGCCUCUAGGAAACCACAGAACAGGUGUAGCACAGGCCAUGACAAUGUACCUCAUCUAGUUUCUAGGAGUGAGAGGGCAGUUCAUUCUCCUCGCCCAUUCAUCCUUGGCCUCU